CGCCUCCAGGACGGGCCGCCGCUGGGGGGUCGCCGGGUCAAACACGUGAACCUGAGAACGACAGGAUGCGUCAGCUGACAUCACUUCCUGUUUGUUUUUAUUUUAAUAACAUUUACAGAACAUCAUGAACGAUAAAUCCAAACCACAUGUGGGGGAAAUUGAGGAGAAUGAAUGAACCCCAUUUAAAAGGUGUUUGGCCUUUACUGUCAGGCAUUUUGCUGGACAAAAGUCAAUAUCAAUAAUUAUUGAUUCGUUUUUAGUUUGUUUCGCCUGUUUUUCUCUCUUUUCCAUCUCAACUAUUGUUUUUUUUACUUUUCUCCGCCUCGCCCGGCUGCAUCUCCUGUGAUGAAUUACUUGGUUUCUUUUGUUUCUGGGUCACCGUCCUCAAGCGUCCUGACUUUGACACAAACUUUAUCGGUUGGUUCUUUCUGGAACUGUAGCAACACUUCCUGUAUGAACGUCCACCGUUGCGCUCAGGGCACAAUCUUGCCUUUCUUACUGAUUUUUCUAAACAUUCGAUCUUUUUUCUCCUAGUCAAUGACGUUGUUAAAUAUUUCUCCAGCAGUUGGACAAUGUCUGAUGAAUUGUGUCUUAUGAUGAACAGAAAACUCAGUGCAGACGAUAUUCGGCUCCCAGCAGGAACCCGUCUCGCUGCCUUCAGGCCGUCUUCACGGCCUUCAUCUCCCAGAAUGCUGUGCUGUUCCGGAGUUUAUAAAAAUGAUUGAAUAUUCCAUCAGGCAUGUCAUCUAUUGAUGCGCGUCUAUCACUCUAUCACGAUACACACUGUUAUUAAUUUAUCGUCCAGCUCCAACACAUAAUGACAAAAUAUCAAAAAUUCAAACUGAGACAGCUUAUACCUCCAAACGUAUUCAAUUUAGAUAAUACAUUUUGAAUAAAGGAAUGGGAAAUGUAUACAAAAGUGGUAGUAAAGAUAUCUUGAUAUUUUACAUGCAAAUCUAUUUUAACAUCUGAAGAGAAAAUGAGCUAAUUGAGAAAAUAAAAGACGAGGGAAGAACAGUGAUGAAUGUAAAUAAUGUAAGAGUUUAAGA